GUGUUUUAUUCUGAUAUUUAACUGUCAUCCUCUCCACACACCCUCACUGAUGACUGGGAAUUAGAAAGGAGGCCCUUAAAUGGCAGCGAGGGGAAAAGUCGGCCCUGGGUUGAAAGACAAGCAAAAUAGCCUCAUGCUCAUUGGCACAGUUCUAAGUCCAUUCCAGGCUGCACUAUUUCCAAAAGCUCGGCAUGUCUACCUACCUACCACAGGACAAAAGAAGUCAUUGUCAUGGGCCCUGCUUCGCCAAACCAAAGACAGACACGUGUGAAGGGCCAGCGCCCAUGUUCACCCGUCAGGCUGGCAGGAAGGGCGCCCGGUCCUGAGUGAGAUGGCUGCUGGCACUUGGGAAGCGACUGUAAGGACCUUCUGCCUUCCCAGUGCGCCUUUACAUAGUAAAACAUGUCAAUUGUACGAGUAGGCUUCCAAUGCCCAGCCUCUCUGAAAACACAUUGGUUUCCUACCUUCGAGGUCAUUAUUUUCCACAAAAAGAAGAGGGAAAAUAAAUAUUGACCUCUGGAUAAAAUAGCAAGUUACGUGAGUCUGGGAAAGUAAAUACUAUCUAGGUUGACACCAAAUCAUUAACCAGGGAGAUAGCUGAAACCUGCCAUCACCCAGCUGACAACUGUGACUUAAGCAGCUUCAACCUAUUAGCCCGAGAAGAAGGCUUAUUUGUGCCCCUUCCAUUUUCUUGCCCUUGCCUGUUUUGCUUAUUUAAGUUGGGGGUUACUGCAAGCAGUCUGCAAUUCUAAAGCCAUUGAUGAUGGUAUCAAUUACUUUAUUACAAUCCUACACUGGCAUCAAAAGGCAUCAGAAUGAGUAAGGAGUUGGCAGAAAAAGAGGUGGAGAGAACCUGUGAAAAGACUUGGAUGAAGGAGGAAGAGCAUGGCAUGUGUUAGGGGAACCUCCUUUCCCCUAGCUCCAUUUUCCACAGGGGCAGAGGAAGGUGUUGGAAGAUUAUUCAUUAGGCUAUAACUUUUGGCUCCUACACCACUAACCUUCACAUUCAGAAGGGAGUUACUUGACUGAUGAGUACUGUUACAUUCAUUGGCUCAUAGUUUUUGACUGGAUGGAGUUAAUCUAUUAAAAAGACCCCUAAUUGCCCUGACUCGUUUGGCUCAGUGGAUAGAGUAUCAGCCUACGGACUGAAAGGUUCCAGGUUCGAUUCCGGUCAAGGGCAUGUACCUUGGUUGCAGGCACAUCCCCAGUAAGAGGAGUGCAGGAGGCAGCUGAUCGAUGUUUCUCUCUCAUCAAUGUUUCUAACUCUCUAUCUCCUCUCCCUUCCUCUCUGUAAAAAAAUAAAUAAAAUAUAUAUUUUUUUAAAAAGACCCCUAAUUACUGAGGACUCUUUCUCUUGUUCCCUUUCUGCCCCAGUGCUGACAAUGAUCUUGGAUAAAUGUGUCUGCCCUGCAAACCCAACCUUCCCCGUUAGUGGGCUGUUCUCAGGCUAAAAUCUGUGAUGGUUGAGAGUUGGAAAAUGUUAGCAAGCUCCUUUGGGUUACAGAUCUAGAACUUUGUUCUUUAUUAACUUACUUGCAAUAAAGCUGACAUUUAAAAAAUCUA